rnacentral:rRNA from 1 species
GUGGGGAAUUUUGGACAAUGGGCGCAAGCCUGAUCCAGCAAUGCCGCGUGCAGGAAGAAGGCCUUCGGGUUGUAAACCGCUUUUGUCAGGGAAGAAAUCCUUUGGGUUAAUACCUCGGAGGGAUGACGGUACCUGAAGAAUAAGCACCGGCUAACUACGUGCCAGCAGCCGCGGUAAUACGUAGGGUGCGAGCGUUAAUCGGAAUUACUGGGCGUAAAGCGUGCGCAGGCGGUUUUGUAAGAUCGAUGUGAAAUCCCCGGGCUCAACCUGGGAACUGCAUUGGUGACUGCAAGGCUGGAGUGCGGCAGAGGGGGAUGGAAUUCCGCGUGUAGCAGUGAAAUGCGUAGAUAUGCGGAGGAACACCGAUGGCGAAGGCAAUCCCCUGGGCCUGCACUGACGCUCAUGCACGAAAGCGUGGGGAGCAAACAGGAUUAGAAACCCUGGUAGUCC